rnacentral:rRNA from 1 species
UACGUAGGGCGCAAGCGUUAUCCGGAAUUAUUGGGCGUAAAGAGCUCGUAGGCGGCUUGUCGCGUCGGAUGUGAAAGCCCGGGGCUUAACUCCGGGUCUGCAUUCGAUACGGGCAGGCUAGAGUUCGGUAGGGGAGAUCGGAAUUCCUGGUGUAGCGGUGAAAUGCGCAGAUAUCAGGAGGAACACCGGUGGCGAAGGCGGAUCUCUGGGCCGAUACUGACGCUGAGGAGCGAAAGCGUGGGGAGCAAACAGG